rnacentral:rRNA from 1 species
UACAGAGGUCCCAAGCGUUGUUCGGAUUCAUUGGGCGUAAAGGGCUCGUAGGCGGUUUGUCGCGUCGGGAGUGAAAACCCAGGGCUUAACCCUGGGCUGGCUUCCGAUACGGGCAGACUAGAGGUAUGCAGGGGAGAACGGAAUUCCCGGUGUAGAGGUGAAAUUCGUAGAUAUCGGGAGGAACACCAGUGGCGAAGGCGGCGAUCUGGGCUGUUACUGACGCUGAGGUGCGAAAGCGUGGGGAGCAAACAGG